CGAGCGAGCUUGCCUAGAUGAUUUUAGUGCUUGCACUAAAUGAAACUAGAUACAAGCGAGCGGCGGACGGGUGAGUAACACGUGGGUAACCUGCCCAAGAGACUGGGAUAACACCUGGAAACAGAUGCUAAUACCGGAUAACAACACUAGACGCAUGUCUAGAGUUUGAAAGAUGGUUCUGCUAUCACUCUUGGAUGGACCUGCGGUGCAUUAGCUAGUUGGUAAGGUAACGGCUUACCAAGGCAAUGAUGCAUAGCCGAGUUGAGAGACUGAUCGGCCACAUUGGGACUGAGACACGGCCCAAACUCCUACGGGAGGCAGCAGUAGGGAAUCUUCCACAAUGGACGAAAGUCUGAUGGAGCAACGCCGCGUGAGUGAAGAAGGGUUUCGGCUCGUAAAGCUCUGUUGGUAGUGAAGAAAGAUAGAGGUAGUAACUGGCCUUUAUUUGACGGUAAUUACUUAGAAAGUCACGGCUAACUACGUGCCAGCAGCCGCGGUAAUACGUAGGUGGCAAGCGUUGUCCGGAUUUAUUGGGCGUAAAGCGAGUGCAGGCGGUUCAAUAAGUCUGAUGUGAAAGCCUUCGGCUCAACCGGAGAAUUGCAUCAGAAACUGUUGAACUUGAGUGCAGAAGAGGAGAGUGGAACUCCAUGUGUAGCGGUGGAAUGCGUAGAUAUAUGGAAGAACACCAGUGGGCGAAGGCGGCUCUCUGGUCUGCAACUGACGCUGAGGCUCGAAAGCAUGGGUAGCGAACAGGAUUAGAUACCCUGGUAGUCCAUGCCGUAAACGAUGAGUGCUAAGUGUUGGGAGGUUUCCGCCUCUCAGUGCUGCAGCUAACGCAUUAAGCACUCCGCCUGGGGAGUACGACCGCAAGGUUGAAACUCAAAGGAAUUGACGGGGGCCCGCACAAGCGGUGGAGCAUGUGGUUUAAUUCGAAGCAACGCGAAGAACCUUACCAGGUCUUGACAUCCAGUGCAAACCUAAGAGAUUAGGUGUUCCCUUCGGGGACGCUGAGACAGGUGGUGCAUGGCUGUCGUCAGCUCGUGUCGUGAGAUGUUGGGUUAAGUCCCGCAACGAGCGCAACCCUUGUCAUUAGUUGCCAUCAUUAAGUUGGGCACUCUAAUGAGACUGCCGGUGACAAACCGGAGGAAGGUGGGGAUGACGUCAAGUCAUCAUGCCCCUUAUGACCUGGGCUACACACGUGCUACAAUGAACGGUACAACGAGAAGCGAACCUGCGAAGGCAAGCGGAUCUCUUAAAGCCGUUCUCAGUUCGGACUGUAGGCAACAACUCGCCUACACGAAGCUGGAAUCGCUAGUAAUCG
rnacentral:rRNA from 1 species